ACCUGCCUUUGCUGUGCAAAGCUCUGCACAUAGAGCAGUGUUUGGCAGGUGAGGGUUAGGAGCUGCCCUUCUUCUCUUUGGGUGGGGAUAGAAAUUUUGCCCUUGUGUUUCUGGUACUAAUAGGAUGGCUAGGGAAUGGCUGAGUUUUGAAGAGUCUGGCCCGGAAGCUGAUUUUCAAGAUUUGGGAUGACCAGCUGCUGGAAGUUACAGUUCAAAGCAGUGUUUCUAGAGCCAACUACUAUUUGCUUUGAUGAUAAAAGAAGAAUAAAAAAGGAUUAAUUUUCUAGG